CUGGGAGUCAAACUGCAGUUUUUAAUAGCCCACCACUAUUCCGCUGGGAGCUACAUUGUAACAUCAUGUCCCACUUGCAGUUCAGAGACAUAGCUGAACGAUACCACAGUGCUAUCCCUGUGGAGGACCCUGACCAGGACAAAGUGAAGAACCAACAAGAUUCAGCGGAGGCAGCUAGUGAAGAGUCUUCCUUAGUGCCCAAGAGGGAGGACACUCCCCGCUCAAAGCUAAAGAUAUUAAAGACUUUGACAGCCAUGAAGUGCAUCUUUUCAAUGCAAGAGCAGCAGCAGCAGAAGCAGAAGAAAAACCAAAAACCUCAGAUAGCACAAGCAAAAGACAGCAGAAAAAAUAGUGACACUAGUAAAUAGACACCCAGGCCUCUACUUUGUACAGAGAUAUAGACAUAGCUACAUCUUUCUAAACCUCCUCUGCCAUUUUGUCCAAUCUGUUAUAUUUUGAUUGUUAGUAACAGGAAGUAUUUACUUUUCAAGUCUCAAUAUAAAAUUGCAGUCAGCAAAUGCUUCUUGGUUUGCUUGAUCUUGUUGUCCUCACUUAAAGAAGGUUCCUCCCGAUGUGCACUGACCCCGGUGAUUCCAGCUCGACGGAAGAACCAGUGAGAAACCAAAUCAUUGAGGAUUCAUGUGAACGAAAUGUCUGCUUUUAACCAGUGUCCAAAGACAUCCUAGAAUGUCUUUGCAAUGGAGGUAGGGGAAUGAGCUGACACGGAACAAGUCCAGGUGAGUCAGGAAUAUAGAGGAAUCUCUGCAGUAAGCUGGUUUGAGGACCUGCAUUUUUGAGGGCUUGCUGUAAAGGUUCAAGAAGCAAAAAGGAGAGGAUAACAGCCUGUUUAGAUAAUACUCCAGCAACCAGUGUGAUAGUACACUCAGUUCUAUAUGACUGGAGAGGCCCAGGACUGGGAUAAACAAGAGAUGCUGGUGAGCAGUACUGAGGUGUCCUGGCAGAGUUGUGAGAAGGGGACUCUCCAAAAUAACUAGGAAUAAAGCAGGUUGGGAUAGAGGGAUUUUGACAGAGCUGUGGGGGUGACCCCACAACUGGAAAUGAACUGAGUUUGAUCCAUUUCAGGAUGAAGGCACAUUGGCAGAGAUACUUCAGUGCAUCUCCAGGCAACCCCAACCAGUGGGCUCCUGCCAUAUGGCACUCUGUUCAGAAUUUAAAGCUGCUGCACACCCUCUGAAAUAGGAUUCCUAUCCAGUGCAAUCUGUGUCUGUCAGGAGGACAUUUCAAAUCCCUUUGGCAGCAGAAGAGAACCUACCCCAUCGUCUGUGGAUAAAAGAGGAAGGACAGCAGGGAAGAGCUCCCAGCUGAUUGGAGGUGGAGUUUAUCUAAGGUUAAACACAUAACAAAACUGCACUGGCAUAGUGUCCUGAUUUUUAAAUACAUAUGGAGACGUACCUUACAAUGGCAUUUAAAGAGAAAAGGUGAGUGAGGUAAUAUCUUUCAUUGGACCAAUUUCUGUUAGUCAGGGAGAUAAGCUUCUGAGCUUACACGGACCUGAAGAAGAGUCUCUCUAAUAUCCUGGGACUGACCCAGCUACAACACAACUGCAGUGGCAUUUAAGGCAGGCUUCUUUCCCCAUCAGUACCUAUAGGUAGGCUUUUCUCUAGCACAUUUAAUCAAACUCACUUGGCUUCCAGGGGCACAGCAGCCUCAAAGAACCCAGUUCAGAGUCAGCCACUGCAAUGUCUGUAGAU
ensembl:lncRNA